UUCAAUUUUCCAGUCGUUUAAGCUUAAUCUGUGGCGCUUGGGAUGUGUCACCACAUAUCCAAGCUUGGGUACACGGGCUUGACCCAACCCCUUGGGCGGAUGGUGGCAUAUAGCGAACCAGGAGGGA
rnacentral:ribozyme from 1 species